GUGCUCAAUUCAGCAGCACAUACACUAAAAUUGUAACAGUACAGAGAAGAUUAGCAGGGCCCCUGCACAAAGGAUGAUACACAAAUUAAUGAAGCAUUAAAAUAAAUG